rnacentral:rRNA from 1 species
UAAGUCGACCGCCUGGGGAGUACGGCCGCAAGGUUAAAACUCAAAUGAAUUGACGGGGGCCCGCACAAGCGGUGGAGCAUGUGGUUUAAUUCGAUGCAACGCGAAGAACCUUACCUGGUCUUGACAUCCACGGAAGUUUUCAGAGAUGAGAAUGUGCCUUCGGGAACCGUGAGACAGGUGCUGCAUGGCUGUCGUCAGCUCGUGUUGUGAAAUGUUGGGUUAAGUCCCGCAACGAGCGCAACCCUUAUCCUUUGUUGCCAGCGGUCCGGCCGGGAACUCAAAGGAGACUGCCAGUGAUAAACUGGAGGAAGGUGGGGAUGACGUCAAGUCAUCAUGGCCCUUACGACCAGGGCUACACACGUGCUACAAUGGCGCAUACAAAGAGAAGCGACCUCGCGAGAGCAAGCGGACCUCAUAAAGUGCGUCGUAGUCCGGAUUGGAGUCUGCAACUCGACUCCAUGAAGUCGGAAUCGCUAGUAAUCGUGGAUCAGAAUGCCACGGUGAAUACGUUCCCGGGCCUUGUACACACCGCCCGUCACACCAUGGGAGUGGGUUGCAAAAGAAGUAGGUAGCUUAACCUUCGGGAGGGCGCUUACCACUUUGUGAUUCAUGACUGGGGUGAAGUCGUAACAAGGUAACCGUAGGGGAACCUGCGGUUGGAUCACCUCCUU